ensembl:lncRNA
ACAAUUCAAUUAGGCUGGACAUGCUGUACAAUUAGGCUUUCCUGUUACAGAAUUUAACGGAGCGACAGCUAAGGCCAGCCAGUCACUGGAACCACAGGCUGAUGGACGGUUAAGCAGUUGGAGGGGUGCCAGCAGGGCUCAGACAGGUAGGAGCUACGCCAAGGCUGUUCCUCGACCAUCCAUCCUGCAGGAUGACACACCAGCGCCUGCUAGCUUCUAUUAUGGCUCCUUCUCUUCCUCUCCUGAAUAGAGCAAAUUUGAUUUGGCCUCUGCAAAAGCACUUUUCACCACAUAAAAGCUCAUUACUGUGAUGGAAAAGUGGCAUUCAAGGUAAAGCUGGUUGGGUGAAGCGAGGACAACGUGAACAUGGUGAAAACACAGGGCUCACACUUGUUCAGUUAGUAUGAGUGUAUUCUGUUUCUCUCUUCUUGUUCAUGAACUUGUGCCUAGCCAUUUACAGAUUUAUAGUGCAAUAACAGGUUCUUGUACUGCUUUUGUACACUGUUAAGGACUUAAAGGAACACUUCAGUAUUUUCAACUUAAAUAGCUGGUGUGUGGCUGCCGUCACACCAUCCAGGUUGAUGCUACACACUAGUGGUGGUUGAGGUGACACCCCUCCCCCAUACUGUGUAAAGCACUUUGAGAGUCUAGAAAAGCACUAUAUAAAUGUAACUAAAAAAAUGUCUUUAUUCACUGCAUGUGUAUUCAACUCAAAAUAUAUGGAUUAAUACAAAUUUCAACAUAUUUCUCUGUACUGACGAAUGAAAAGAAAACCUGUUUACCUGAAACUCACUUAUAAUGGAAGUCUAAGGGCAGUUGUUCUGGUAGUGAAUAACCCUUUACGUGAAAUACUUUCAUGAAUUCAUCGGUCAAAGCUAUUCAUAAAUUCAGCUCCAAAUGUGUAUAAAUGUGAUUUUAUUUUUUCGGUGAGAAGUACGUCAGAUGCCUCUUAGUUCUGUUCUCAGUACAGGGAGCUGGCUUAAAAUUAUUUUUGCAUAGUUAUCACAUCUACUAUGUAGAGAUUAUCAUUAAAAACCCUGCAGUAUUUCUUUAAUAUAUUUGCUCCAUGUCCAGUACAGUCAGGAACUGGGAGUUGGCAGCAGUCGAUGCAAGUGCAGAUUUAUUAGUGAACGGUGCAAACAAACAACAAAAACACUGAAAACAAGAACCAAAAACUAGAGUUACGAGGCAAAACGUCUGGGUUACGCAUGCAACCCUGUUCUCUGAGAUGGGAACGAGACAUUGCAUGAGCUUCACGCUGUGGGAAGUGCCCUCACGCAUGACCGGUAUCUGAAGUCUGUGUAAAAUCAUAACUAUAAAAUGGUGCCUGUGAACCACGUCAUCAGCCUCUAUUAUCUGAAGCAAAGACGCGAUUCACAGGCAUGCCCCAGUAUGAAAAAGCUAUGCAAUGGCUUAUUCCCUUCUCAGGGAACAGGGUUACAUUUACCCCAGACAUUCCCUUUCAUACUGAGGGUAUGGCUGUCAUGGUGAACUGGAAACUCCUAGAGAGGGCCGUCCAGCAGAGAUAUUAUCUCCAAUAACCAAAUUUGAGCUAGCCAAUCCAGUGCUAUCAGCAGCAGACAUAGCACGGUCUUGGCGAACUCUCACUAGAGCCUGUGGAAGGAGAGUGAUCGGGGGAAAGGCGUACAGAUGUGACCUCAGCCACAUGUGUUCCAUGGUGUCCAGCCCUGUCCUUUUUAUUUAUUUAUUUUUUGGUGCAGGAGGAGUGAGGGCGAAAAACAGCGGGCAGCGUGUUGUCUCCUCAGAAGUGAACACGUCCUCUUCCGCUCGGCCGCACCUCCGCCAUAUGGACUCACCCACUUGUGGAUGGAGCCUCCAGUCCCCAGGCCUCAGCCUCUGCAUCAACAGGAUGUCUGCCCCAACAUUCCAGUAGCCCGGAAUAUACAUUGCACUCACUGACCAAACUUCCCCUCUACCAGAGAAGAAUUAGUUGAGUCUGCCUGAAAAGGGGGCGUGAACGUAAUGCUCCCUGGUGGUUGAUAUAUGAGACCACCGCUGUGUUGUCUAACACAUGGUGACCUCUCAACUGACGAGAAGAAAUUCAGUGCUAGGAGUACAGCCCACACUUCGAGGCGAUUUAUAUGCCACACUAGAUGAGGGCUGCACCACAGACCAUGAGGGAGGUGUCUGACAUUACCGUCUUGUGAUAAGAGAUGCCGCUAGAGUGUGACCUGAGGGACACUUCCUAGUUCUCAGAACAUGUAAAAAUCGCCGCCUGACACUGAUUACUCCCAGGGGUUUCGUCCUCUGAUGAAACCCCCGACCUUCAGCCACAAAUGAACGGUUUCAUGUGCGUUGGGCCCAAUGGUAUGACAUUGGCUGCUGCUGACAUAAGCUCCAACAGUCUCCGUAGAGACUGGAGGGGAUGCCAAGUCUAUCUUGCUCAAUGUUGAUAGGAUUUGCCCUGCGUGUGUUGGGGAUAGACAUGCCCUCAUUGUAUUCGAAUCCCAGCUCUUGUCUGGAGAACCAACUGUUCCUGAGGUUCAACCUGAGCCCCAAGCUCUUCAUGUGGAUGAGAACAACAUCUUGAUGUUGAACUUUUUGGACCGCACUAGAAUUAACCAGUCGUCCAGGUAGUUUAGCACACGGAUAAUCUGGAGUCGCAAAGGAACCAACGCGAAAUCCAUACAUUUCCUGAAGGUGCGAGGGGAUAAAGCUAGCGAAUGGAAGAACCAAUAUUGAUAUGCGUUGCCUCCAAACGAGAACCUCAGGAAUUUCCUGUGACUGGGCAAUGGAAUAUGCACCUUUUUUUAGAUCUAUCCUCACAAACCAAUCCUCAAACUGAGUCUGUGGAACGAUAAGGUUGAGCGUCAACAUCCUGGACCUGUAUGUCCAAAGAUUAUGGAUCAGAUGGCACAGAUCUAAAAUUCUAUAUCCAUAUAUCCCGUCUUUUCUGUGGACUAGGAAAUAACGGCUGUAAAACCCCCCUGCCUCAGAGAAAGAGGUACAUGUUAUAUGGCACCUUUGUCCAAGAGAGAUCCACUUCUUGGGCUAACAUCGGGCUCUGCAUUGUGCUGUCUAUUGUGGGAGGUGUCGAGCUAUGAACUGGGCCCGGAACCCUUUUCUAUGGAAGACAGAACCCAUGGAGACACAUUUGGCUGUAGUUUCCAUGCUGCCAGAUGGUCUCUAGUGACGUUAACUUUCCACAUUUUGUUGGAGGGAAAGCAUCAGAUUUUCCUUGCCCUGUGACAGCUCGCUGACCAGAGAAAACUGAAAACUUGGGACGACAUUGACUAGGGGAGCACUACAGUAAUACUGGGGGCUAACUGUCCUAACAACCUCUCGUCCCCUGAUACCUCCCUCCGCAGCCCUUCAGGACUGCUUCUUUUUGUCUUUUUGGCACUGAUUAUCAUUUAAAAUCAGGCCUACUAGCAGGCUGCAACUGUGGCUGCCCGGUCCCCCUGGCUUUCUGCAGGUGGAGGCAGGCUGCCACACUCACCUUCUGUGCCCCCUAGCAAUUCAGCAGUUCUGCCUGGUAGGCCUGCAACACUGCCAUUUUUGCUGAUACCCACAAGCAAGUCUUGCUGCCAUGUAGGCUUCACCAACCAACGAAUAGGUGGUCUUACACGGCCUGGAUGGCAAAGCUGGCCUCCUGAUUUUGCUGGCAUCGAUGGAGAGAGGUGGCUCGCAAGUGCCUCCUGUACCUUCGGCAUAGCAAAAUAGCUGUAAUGUUUAUCCCCCAUGAUGGCCGAAUAAUCCAACGUCGCAGGGUCAUAAACAGGGAGCUUCCCACAGCGUGAAGUUCAAGCAACGUUGAGUUCCCUUUGAAAGGGAACAUAAAGACUAUGAUAGAGACUAAGGUACACACCAACACACAAAAGCUUGACAACCAGAUGCUGAAACAUAGUCCCUGCGUCCCAAUUGGCAUACAUAAAAGUAUGUACUCUAUUUGUUAAGAAAUUUUCCAAAUUUCAUUCACACCUCUUUAAAAUGCUUCCUUGAAUUUGGUGAAGCAAACCUUCACAAAACUUUUCCUCCCUCGUGCAAGGGAUUAUGGGUAAUAGCUGAAAAAAUGUCCACGGAUCCACACUUCAAAAAUCUACCAUAAAUUGUAGACCAUCCAGGUACUAAUUUCACUAUAUUACCAUUUGGGACACACUAAUUCUGUACACGCUAGUACUGAUAGUAUACCAGUUGGGACGCAGGGAAUGACUUAUAUAACGGUUAUCAGGCUGAGAUGAGACACACGUGUGAGUGAUUGAAAACAUGUGACAUUCCGGUGCUGAUGGAAAGUGUAGUUCAACGCCCUUUGGGUGCCAUCAUGACACUUCACUUUCAGUUAGAGUCCACUCUUGUUAAAUGCUGCACGUUUAAAUUGUAUUACAACUGCCUUCUCUUUCUCUCAUCAGAAUUUUUAUAUUUAUUAUUAAGCUUUAUAUGUGCUUAAAACAACCCUUAAAGGUAAAAUCAACCUUGAACAUUUUGCAUUUUUCUCUUAUUAAUAAUUAACAUGUGAGCUUCAGUGACAUCAAAGAUUGAUUUUGCAAUGAAAUUCUGAGUUGUUUUUUAUUUCUUCAUUAACAUGUUGGUCUGUUUCCUUUUGGUUAACAGUUUCCUUCCCACAAUGCUGUUCAUUUCCAGUACCUGCUGAUAAUGGUGCAGUAGGAUUUAGGCCUUGCUUCAGCUCUAUGUCAGGACUGAUGAAGCAGCACUUCAGUCUUUUAGUCUGUUAGUCUGUUCAGCUCUCUCACCUUCUCACCUUGUACACUCUGCUCAAACAGCUCCAGUUUCAAAGCUUCGAUAUUCAUGCUAAUACCGUUGUCAAUGCCGCCAUGCUUGUCAUCUCAUAGAUCACUAACUAGCCAAAAUGAAUCUCUGACAUAACUUAGCGUAAUUGUUUCGUACAACUGCAUUGCCUUCUGGAACUUUGAGUCCACUUUUUUAUCUUGCUCUUUUGUUUUUAGGUUCAAACUUGAUCGUUUUUCUUUAUGUUUGAGAUUGCUGAAUUUUUUUCUGUGACAUCAGCACUUCACACAACCACUAACUUUCAUGCUCAUGAGAACAACAAUAAUACAGCAUCCACCAAAAAAAAAUCAUCAGAAUUGCUAGGCACAUUACAAAUAUUUUAAUAUAAACAUAUUUAAUGUAGUUUAGGGUGGACAUUUCCUUUAAGCUUUCUGCUAUAGUGAAAUGGUACACCUGUAUAAACAACUAUAGACACCAUAUCACAACUUUGGUAUGUAUUUUGUCUGAAUAGACCUUUGGUUUUCACCAGCAGGAUAGCAAAGACGUGCUUGCUUGGGUAAUAUUGGAGUGAAAUAUAGUAUUUUAGUCAAUGGCUUGUGUCCGGCGCGAUGCCCAGAUGGGUCCGGUGAGACUGACUCAGGCCAGGCAGCCCAUGUCAUUCUGGGCAUGGCCAUGUGGUCAGCCUAGCCAAGAUAUUCCCAUGGUUCACUAGUGCCCGUUUACCAAACAGUGCCAAACCAGCACAGGCCAAGCUUAAUACAGAAUGUGUAUAAGUACAAGCAGCUGUAGGGAAGCUGGCAGCGAGGUGAGGUCCUGCCUCAUGUGAAGGGAUCACUGAGUAACUCCAGGAGAGAGAGAGCGAAAGGGGGGGUUAGAAAACACAGAGGAUCUGGGCCUGGUUGUGCUGGCAGGUUAAAUAUCUCCAGGCUAGGAGUGCAGUGAGGGCAUAUGGCCUGUGGUGAAAAAAAAGAGAAGCCCAGCACACAUGUGGCUUUCACAUCACUGCUCUUUAACUUGCUCUCGCUCUCUUGUGACCAUUAUCUGCUUGGUAUUUGAACCUCCUGCCACCUGCAUUGGCAUGUUGAUUUGCUUCCAGGCUCCUGCAUGGAAGGGCAGUGUCUUCAGUUUUUUUCUUUUUUCACAUUGUUUGUUUGAUGCUGUGAGGAGAUAUGAGCUGAAUGGUUGUCCCUUUCCAAACACAAAGGCUGUAAAAAUUCACCCCCUAUGUGAGGGUUGCCACUGUUUGACCACAAUAUCCACUCCCUUCCUGUAGCCUACUAUACUCAAGGAAGAAUAGCACAAGGAAAGAAAUCUACCUCUUGUAAUUACUAUUAUAAUGAUAAAUGUAAAUACCAAUUAACACAGACAACCAUUCUAGAGUAAUCUGGAACACUCUCAUUGUGAAAUGAGAUGUAGGUUAUGAAGUACCAGGCCAAAGUGGAGCAUCUCCUAGAAGUAGCUUAUUAAAUAAUGCCCAACUAAUUGCUUUGUCUUCCUUUUGUCCUGCUGGUGUACAUGUUAUUAAGCGUGUUUCAUAUAUCUUAGAAUAAUGAGGAAGACACGCCUGGCACCUGCAUGCUGUAAUUAAACAUAUAAAUUCUCUCCUUGCAGAAUUAUUUGUGGUCACGAACUGAUUUAUACAGCUUGCUAAAUUGCAAUGUUGAGCUUAUUUUCUUUCCCUGAAAGAGCUGGAGAAAGGAACCUCAUUCAUCAGGCACCUUUGCCAGAAUAAGCUUCUCUAGAAGCUGACUAUAUAUAAGGAGUACAUGCCCC